rnacentral:rRNA from 1 species
AUUGAACGCUGGCGGCAGGCCUAACACAUGCAAGUCGAGCGGAGCGGCGGACGGGUGAGUAAUGCCUAGGAAUCUGCCUGGUAGUGGGGGAUAACGUCCGGAAACGGGCGCUAAUACCGCAUACUAUCAGAUGAGCCUAGGUCGGAUUAGCUGGUUGGUGGGGUAAAGGCCUACCAAGGCGACGAUCCGCAACUGGUCUGGGAGGAUGAUCAGUCAGACGGGAACGGAGACACGGUCCAGACUCGUACGGGAGGCAGCAGUGGGGAAUAUUGGACAAUGGGCGAAAGCCUGAUGCAGAAAUGCCGCGUGUGUGAAGAAGGUAUUCGGAUUGUAAAGCACUUUAAGUUGGGAGGCGUUACCAACAGAAUAAGCACCGGCUAACUUCGUGCCAGCCGCCGCGGUAAUUC